rnacentral:rRNA from 1 species
AUGAGAUCGGACCAGGUGUGGGUAGACUAUGAUGCACAGGCCAGACGACUCAACGUGACAUUAGCGUCCGUGCAUGUACCAAGGCCCAAGAUUCCUCUACUCUCCGAAGUCAUUGAUCUCUCCACAGUCAUGGCAGACAAGAUGUACGUUGACUUUUCAGCUUCCGGAGGUUGGGGCGUAGGCACACACCACUAUGUCCUUGGAUGGAGCUUCAGCUUGGACGGACCCACCCCGCUGCUAGACUUCUCCACGCUUCCCGUCCUACCACGCCUGGGUCCCAAACCUCAGUCAAAGAUCUUGGAUGUCGUGCUGCCACUGGCCGCGGCAUUGCUUGUCAUUGCAAUGCUAGCUAUCAUCUUCUUCUUCUUGUGGCAUCGUCGUCGAUUUGCUGAGGUACGAGAAGAUUGGGAGGACGAGUUCAGCCCACAUUGUUUCGCGUACAAGGAUCUAUUUCAUGCCACUGAGGGGUUUUUUGGUACGAAUUUACUUGGUGUGGGAGGAUUUGGAAGAGUGAACAGAGGAGUGCUUUUUCCGUCCAACUUGAAGGUUGUGGUGAAGAGAGUGUCACAUGAUUCGAAACAAGGAAUAAGGGAGUUCAUUGCUGAGGUGGUGAGCAUUGGUCGUCUCCGCCACCAGAAUCUUGCGCGGUUACUAGGCUAUUGCCGGCGAAAGGGUGAACUUUUCUUGGUUUAUGACUACAUGGAAAAUGGUAGUCUUGACAAAUACUUGUACAAUGGAAACAAGCCAACUCUACAAUGGUCCGAGAGGUAUCGGAUCAUCAAAGUCACUCUCGUGCUCCUACCCAUCAUCCAGUGCAAGGCCUAG